GUAAGUCUGAGUCACUGCUAUUGGCAUACAGCAAUACCUCAUGCAAAUUGCAUUUUUUUUUUAUCAGUUUUUAUCGCCUCUCUCUCUCACUCGCACAGGUAUGUUCAUUUAAAAGGAUUGUGAUGAACAACCAUUGCGGCGACAGAGAUGAAUCAUACGGCCUGUAUAUCACUCCAUGUUUACUUCUAGAACGCGCCGCAGCAUCUAAUUACAUGGAUAAACACCCAAGAACGUUAACUAUGCAAACUUGGUACUCCGAUUUCACAGCGUUUGGAAAAUUAAAGGAAUAGUUCACCCAAAAAUGGAAAUGUGUCAUCAUUCACUCACCCACCACUUGUUCCAAACCUGUACGAGUUUCUUUCACAAAUCCAGAUAUUUUCAAUGUCAGUAACCCACAAGUGGCUACUUGCUACAGGAGAAAGAAACUCUACUACUAAAUGAAGACAGAAUGAAUGCCUUUAAAACAAAUGUAUGGGAGUUUUAAUGAGCUUCUGUUUCUUUUCCACACCAACGUCCGUGAGAAGCCUGGUGAGCGGGAACAGUCAAAAUGGCAGACUGCUUUACGGCAGCAACCAACGAACAUGCGCUGUCCACCUUAUAACACAUGCUGUGUGUUUGAUACUGAAAAUGGCAAGCGCUGCGAUAGAGCCAAAUAUGUUUGAGUCAGAUCUCGAGGAAGACGAAACAAGGCAACGACUGCAACAGUCUAAGCAUGGUAAUUGCUUUUGCUUGCUUAAUUGCUUCAUUUUUGGUAUAUAGUUUAAAAGGGACUAUUAUUAUUUGUCUUGUGACAAAAGAUGUACGCUGGGAUGUGCUGAUUAACACUUAUAAUUGAAAAACUUGGUGUACUACAAAAAUAACUGCAUUGCCUUUGAGGAAAAGUUUGGAGUUCUGAAACUUGCAGUACACCGUUUUUUUGUAGAGCAUUAUCUAAAUAUGUUUAAGCGUAGCAUGGGUGUAAAUAACGAGACUAUUUCGAUUCUCCAUUUUGUGACCACCUUUAAAAUCUAUGCUUUAUUUUUUUUUGGUUUUGUGCAUUUCCUAAAAUGCUGUCCCAUUCAUCUGCUGUUUGUUCUAUGGGACGUGGAGUGCAUUUAAUGUCGUUCUCAUCCAAUUCAGAAACCGAGGCCCAUUGCAGACAACGGCGGCGGCGACGGCGGCAUUCGGAGUGACAGACUUAACAACCAUUUUUGAGACUUAUCACACAACGAACAGCACUUACCAGUGCCCUAAAGCCUUUUGGGAUUGAGGAGGAGGUGGGAAAUCUGAACUUUUCUUGCGCCUUUAGACCCAUAAUGAAAGGCUUGUAGCGAUUUUCACGCGUGCCCAAAAUCAUUCUGAAUAUAUUAGUCAUCUCAUCUAGCAGGCCUACGUCUGCGCAAAUGUAGCUCGCCGGAAGGUCUCUGGUGUCUGGCUUUUGUUAAUGAACAAUUUUGGUUGAUUAAUUAUGAACAACUUGUUAAGCGCAUUGGUGACUCUAAAUUACAGGAGUAUUAGGUCUCCUUUUCUAAACACAUACAGCUGAUUUCCCUGUAGAAAUGAGAGGUGGUGUUCUUAAAAGUCGUAUGGGAUUUCUUUACUAAAACUGCAUGUUUGGUGUAGCGGCUGUUCAAUAAGUAUUACUGGAUUAAUGUGAUGCGAUGACAUGAGCACUGAGGAUUCAGCUCAGAAUCCAGCUUAAUAAUGAUUCAUGUAGCUAAUGGUUUUAUUUAAAGCAAUAAAUAAGUAAGCUUUUAAUAAUGGAACGCAAUUGUGACCACUGAUUAACUUAAUCUGUAAAUACAAUAAAAUUUAUAUACAUUUUAUAGCCAAAGUUUGCUUACCGAAGAGGGAGAAAUAGUUUAAAUGGGUAUUUUCUUGAAAAACAGCCACCAUUUGUAGUACAGAAUAAAGAUAAAGAUAUCAUAUUCGCCAAAUGGUCAUUUCUGUCAGUACAAACUGCUAAACACUACAUAAACCAAGCAAAGUGUGAAAAACUGUUUAAAAUAUCAUUCGUAUGACCCAUUCACAUAUCUGAUUUCAGCCAAAAGAAAAAUGUUGAUAUUAAUGUAUGUAUUGAUGACUGUGAUUUUUUUACUGGGUUAAUUUAAUAUGGCUCAUAAAAUGAGAUACAGACCGCUACAAAUACCUACAAAAAAGGAUGGACAACGUGUUCAAUUCAAGCAACAAAUCACUCUGCCCGUGGCCGCAGGAUUCACAAACAACUACGAGUCGCUCAUAUGAGCUGUUAUAUGAGUGAGACAUUGAUUCGUCUGAGAGGCGGAGGAUUGAUUGGGCAGUUGCGUCCUUACAGACUGAGAUAACGGUUUAACUACAGAAGGAGAGAGAGCAAUGGAGGUGAACAAAAGAUAUAUUAUAUUGCCGAGGCCACAAUGAGAUACUUGCAGUCUGGCUACCCUGGAGUGCUGAAUUUAUUUGACUUAGUGCCCCUUUUGAAAACAGCAAGCGUGUUAGCUUUCCUUUCAGGUACCUUAAAGUACAGCAAGGGCCCAAACCACUGAGCAAUCGUACAGUCCUGAAAAACAGAUUCUUUGGUUUUUCAGCAUCAUUUACAUACUUGGACCAAUUCCAACAACGACUGUAGGAUUUUGAGAUCCAUCUUUUCACACUGAAGGACUCAAACGCAACUAUUGCAAAAAGUGCAAACACUUAAUGAAAGGCGAUGCUUUAAGAGCGUGUUUCAUUUUGAACAGAAUGAAAGUGUACAUUUUUCUUAUUUUACCUAAAUAUCACUUUUUUUUUUGCUUCAUUUAGUACUGCACUUCAGAAGCCGCAUGCAUUUCUCCCACGAGACACUUCAAAUUUACACUGAUCUUGAAAAAGGUUUCACUUCCAGCAUCUCAAUGCAUAAUGCAUUUGUGUAACUUUGUUUGAACAGUUGCAUGUAAGUCCCUCGGUUGGAGGCCAUUCUUGGAACGCUUUUAAAUACGCAAUAAAUACUGGAAAACCAAAGGAUUUGCUGGACCUGAAGAUUUUUUUCCUGAAAAAAAUAAAUAAAUAAAAAAGUGGGACAAAUAAGGGACUCAUGCACAGCUAAUCACAAAUAAAUAAAAAUAAAUAAAAAAUAUUAAUAUUAAAAGGGAUAGUUCACCAAAAAAAAAAAAAUUUUGUCAAUAUUUACUCCCGCUCAUGUCAUUUCAAACCCAUUAUACUUUUGUUCAUCUUUAGAACACAAAUUAAGAUAUUUCUAAUGAAAUAACCCUACAUAGACAGGAACAGAUCUACCAAAAAGGUAAUAAGGUUAGGUAAUAGUAAGGUAAUAAUCACUGAAAUAGUAGUUUAACUGUAAUUUUAGGGAGCUACAAGAAUAGAGCAAAGAAAACAAAAAUAACAUAGCUUUAUAAAACGAUGGUUGAUGAACUAUCCCUUUAAGAAUCUGGCAGAAACUUUUGAAAAGGGCAAUUUUUAUUUUCUCUUGUGAACUAUGCAAGCGUCUUUUAUGUAAAAUGUAUUAUGCAGGUCAGUGCUAAAUAAAAAAAACAACAACAUGCAUUUUGCAUUACCCCUCUUAUUUUGGUAAAAUAUUCAACAUGUUGCAGAUACUGCGAAGUGUAUAUAAAAUUUUGACCACAGCUGUAAGCAUACAUUUUUUUUUUCAUCAUUUAGACGCACCGCAUUGAACAUAUAAAUAACACAUUCGCGUGAAUCUGGAAGUAAAGGCCCACGCGCGCGCGCAUCUUGCGUCUUUCCAGGGCUGCGGUGCGUUUGCAAGAGUUCAGUGGGUGUGCGACGACAAAACUCGGCUAAAACCUGACGUGCGUGAGAGAAAAAGCGAGUUAUUUUUGUUCGUAUUAUCGCUUGUCACACUGCCAAUGCGCAGCUCCUCAUAGCCAAAUCGAAGGCACUGAGGUAUGAAUGAAAAAGCGCAGUGCGCGCCGCUGCUUCAUUAGGUAUGCGCAAAGAUAACGAGCGGCACGGCAGCGCCUGGCCACUGUAACGUUCCGGGAGAGCAGAUACCCUAAGCCCCCAAACAAAUAAAGCCUUAAAUUCGACCUCCAAUCUUUAUUAUGGUAAUUUCUCUAAUGCAGAUUGGAACGUAAUUGGUAACAAUAUGUACACAGCCUAAUCUUUUUCUAGGCUGACAGUGACGAACUGGAGAUAAGCAUACAAAGAUGUCUGGUGAAAGAGGACAUUUAUAGGCCCCAUUAGCAUCUAUUUUUUGGUUUCUACAAAAUGUUUUUUGUAGAAGCUGUAUGAAGCUAAAGAAACGGUUCACCAAAAUAUACAAUUUCUGUUGUGAUUUACUCACCCGCAUGUCAUUCCCAAAAUCAGACCAUAACAUUUUUUUUUAAACACUGAACACGAAAAAAAUUCUCUCCCAAGUCUCUUUCAUAAAGCCAUAGAAGCCUACAAACUGUAAUAGCUUUUUUUGUGUGCAAACGGAACUAACUUUUUAUUAUUAUUUAAUGACAGAACACUUUGCGUCGCACCAGAGGUUUUUAUAGCGGAAUAAGGGUUUUCAAAUUAUUAAAAUGUUCUUCAGAAAAGAAACAAAAAUAGCUCUUUUGAAAGAUACUUUGGGGAAACCAGUGCGGUUCUUCAUAUGGCGUUGCUGCGAAAAAACCCUUUUGGAAGUUUUAUUUUUAAGGAUGUAUAAAUUGACAUGACUCUGAAUCUAAAUAGUGACAUUCAUUCAUGGGUUAUCCAUCUUUUAAAGUUUAGAAGAAUAAGACUUUGAGUCUGACCAGCCGCAUUCAGUGUGUUCGUUGUGUCUCAAAGUUAUUCAUACAUUUCCAUAAAGUAUUUUAUAGUAAGCUCCCAUGAGACCCAGUCUUUUUUUUUUGUAUGAAAAGAUACCGUGUGGAAGAGCUGCGAGGAAUGGUAGUGGAAGUGGUGAUGAUGAUGCAUGACAAUGGAGAUAAUGCAUCUUUAUGAUAAUAUGAAGGGUCUGCAUCUGUAUCUGUGUUAAGUAGCAAGAAACUUCCAUUUUUUUCUUCCCAUGCUGUGUAUUUAUAGAGCUUUGCUACUAUGACAAGCUGCCACUGAUGUAAAAUGUACCGUCAGGGUUGUAUGACGUAGUACACAAGUAGAAACCUUGCCGUUUUAGACAUUUCAUGUCAUUAUUAACAUCUGCAGCAACCUAAUGGAAGUUGAAUCAAUAAAAAGCGCAACCCUUUACUGAUUUAGCUGUCAAAAUCGGUGCGGUUUAAAAUGAUAAAUGCUACUUUUUCCAAGCUGUCAGACACCACAUUUAACUUUACGUGAAUGAAAACAAGGCUGAGAGAAAGAAGUACAGCCUGUUCAAUGGCUUGUACUUUUGUUCACCUUAGUGUCGAUCAUUCAGCUGCAAGAUGCAACAUUUAAAAUGUAUUUCAAGAACAUUUCCAAAACGACCAGUGGACAUGAAUUAAAAAAAAAAAAAGAAGAAAAAGAAAACAUGCAUUAUGAAAAUCAGAAACGAUAGGAGACGAUGUAUAUUUUUUCCACUUCUACAUUGAGUUGAAAAUGUUUUGGGGGUGACAAAACCAGAUUUGCUCAAGUUAGUUAACCUGGAUAUGGCUGAAAUUGAGUUGAAACUAAGUUGCAAUUAAAACUAAAAGUUUGACGUUUAAUCUCAAAAGUAAUAUUUUAAUAGACUGCAUUAGUGCCAGUUCACGUUUUUAACAGCACAGGUCCUGGAAUCAUUUUCACCUUAAAAGGUUUGAUUAAAAGUGUUGAAAUGAGUCACUAAGUAGUAAAUCACAGCAAUUAUAAAAAUGUUAAAUUACUGAUUAUCUAUGUAUAAAUUUCAAAAGUAUUUUAAUGUAUUGUGGUUGAGAGUUGCAAGAUGCAAAAGAAGCAUUAAAAACGUGAACCAUGAGAUCAAAUUGAAAUAAUCAGCUCCUCAACAAUACCUCAGUCCACAGAUUUGAAGGACGCUUAUUAGGAUCUACAAAGAUGAAUACAAAUUACUCGACUGCACUUUAUCUAAAAGUGAGCUCAUAACUUACAAGCGUUAAGAACUAAAAGAGCAACCAUACGAAACAAAGAGUUAGUUACAAACUAAACUAGUUCCUAAGCCAUACAGCGUGAACUUUCUGUCCCAAUUUAAGAAAGAGUUCACGAACAACUGGUACAAUACGUCUACCCUAGUGAGCACUAAUAAGCUCAAGUCUUAUAUCUAAGAAUAAAAGCUGGUACGCAUCCACACAUUUUGCGCCACUGUAGCAUUAGAUAUCACACAGUCAGCGAAUCUGUGAUCAUUUUCUCAAAGUACGUGUCCCAAUUUCUGUUCGCCACAAAGGCAGAUCCAGAGACGCGAUGUGUGUCAGUUGAAGAACUCAUCUCACUCAGUGUUUUUCCCGCCCCUAUUCUUCCCAUUACAGAUCAGCUGGAGGGCUGUAACGAUACAGUCAGCGCACGAUACAUUCGCUGACAUUUCCUUGCUGACCUCCUCCCACUCAUUCCACACAAAUUGGUGUUAUUGAAAUCUGAGCAAACUCGCGCAUUUCUCCGAUACAGACAACCUGUGCAACCUUGCAUAAUUGAAGCUGAUAAAUAUGUGAUUCCAACUAAGAAUAUUCAUCAACUCUGAGCACUUCUGAAAUGCACCUGGCAAGAGAACAAAUUUGCAUUUUCAUUCUUUAUCGGAAUAAAAUGUGAAUGCAUGUCAUUAGGCAGGAGAGAUGCAAUUACAGGGCGAAAGGAGAAAGUCCUCCCACACACAUUUUACCUUCCAGUGAGGCAUGUCAGAAUUAAUAAACCUGUGUCUGCAAAUGAAAAUCCUUGCUAAAAGCCUGGGACAGGUGACAUGCAGUUCCGCUCUUUUCAUUGCAAACUAGAUUCCAGUAAUUUAGUCCAUUUAGCGCUCCAAUUUCGUCACGCCAAAGUAAAAGUUGUCAUACGAAAAAGACUAAAUAGUCCAUUCUGCGUCAGCUUCCGUUAAAGCUGUGAAUGACCAGCAUUACCAGACGAUGACGUCUUCGGUAGAGCUAUCUAAACCUGUCCUGGCCAUCUUCACGUCUACAAUUGUGCCUGCCAUACGGAGCAAAAGCUGUAGAAUACGGGAGAAAAUGACUGUGCUUUUAAUGGCACAGAAAAGUGACAUUUAAUGCACUCAAAGACUCCAGAAGAAGCCAGAAGGUCACGCCGAGCCAGUGCGAACUGCUAACGGAAGGAACGUCUAAGGUUUUAAAUUGCACAAAUGAGUUGUAAUGCAAAGGGUCAAGGUCAAAAAAAAAAAAUCCCACAUUAGAUCUCACCGAGGGGAGAUGCAUUCAUCAAGACAGCCGAAGGGACAAACAUGCAAUGAGCUGCUGUCGAUGAAUGAAGAAUGAAAAAAAAAAAUCAACUACUACGAGGAAGAGCGUAAGAGAUAUAUUUCCUGUUUCAGAAGGAGAGAAACAGACAUGAAAGCAACAACAUGGCUGACAUCGCUGUGACUGGAUUAGAACGCGGAUAUUUUCCCUGUGCUGUACACUUCUAAGACGAAGGCUGUGAUAGACUUUGAAAUGUUUUUAUUUCUUCUGGUGCAAAUAUGGAAUAUGUACUCAAAUCACAAAGUGUGCACACUGUUGAGCCUGAAGGAA